rnacentral:tRNA from 1 species
AAGAGAAGGGGUUCAAGUUUAAGCUUCUAACUUAAAAUUUUAGCGGUUAAACUCCGUUAUUCUCUUU